AAUAGGUACAACCAUGAGUUUUCGCGUCUAACUUGGAUCGUCCGUCUUAUUUAAAAUUUUUUUAUAAUUAGCAUUUUUGUUGUUAUGAGAUGAUAAAACAUGAAUAU
rnacentral:pre_miRNA from 1 species